GAAGAUUACAGAAAUAGAAUACAGACAACAUAGAGAUCACCACUGCUCCAGCGAACCUUUGCACUCGUAACUUGCAAGGGGAAGCAGUGGCAGCAGUAUAGCAACAGUUGCCCCGCAGCAAUUACCCAAAAAUUGCCACUUAUUGAUUCUCUUUUCUCUCUUUCUGAGGUGCUCUUUAAUCAGAGUCUUUUAACUGCAUUUUAUUCUUUAGCUAUCAAAAUCAUUCCAUCGCUUUUGGCGAAGAUUGGGUUUGCGCCACUUUUGAGCUCGAAGAAGAGAUUUGAAGUUGGGUUUCCAAGGAAAAUGGCUUGGAUUCAGGAAAAAUGUGAGGCAGAAGUUGGGAACAAGUUGGAGGUGGUUCGGCCUGGCGGCUUGCGACUGAAGUUUACUCUGAAGAGGCUGUUGAAGCUCUCAGAACUGAGCAGGGGAGUUGAGUGCAUGUAAGAGGUUCAUGAAUCCAGGAUUGGACAGUGUAGGGAGUUGGAGUGGCUUUCAUGAGUAUGAAAUUUAACAGGCAAUGAAGUAGUGGCUGCAUCAAGGAUUUUGAGAUUCCCUGGGAACACUUUGCGUAUGUUAUGAAGGCUGCUUCCAUCUGACUGCAGAAUCAACAGUUGUGGAACAUACCAGGCAAGGAAAGUGCAGGAUUCUUAGACACGGGUGAUAAACUUUCAAUUGAGAAGCUAUCUAAUAUGGAAGAAAAAUGACAAUUCAUUAAAAGCACUGUCCAGUCUAAGUGUGGAAACAACGCUAUUUGAAGAUGUUGCAAUGAGGUGAUAUAGUUUUAUACUCAUUUGUUGCAAUAGGUGAGAAUGGAUUUGCUUAUGCAUGAGGAAAAUUGUCACUGUGCAUCAGUUAUAUUUUAUUUAACUUGGAUAUGAGCUUAAGUUCUCGAAUUUUGGAGGAGCUUGUCUUGGAUAUGCUUUCUUAGUCGAUAGUUGAUGGACUAGACAUUUGGUGGAAAUGAAAUUAAUUAGUUAAUAAUCA